rnacentral:lncRNA from 1 species
AUGGCUCCCGGGAAAAAGCUUGUGGUGAAGAGGGGCAAAAAAAAGAAGCAGGUUCUGAAGUUCAGUCUUGAUUGCACCCACCCCGUAGAAUAUGGAAUCAUAGACGCUGCCAAUUUUGAGCAGUUUCUGCAAGAGAGGAUCAAAGUGAACUGAAAAGCUGGGAAACUUGGCGGAGGGGUGGUGACCAUCGAAAGGAGCAAGAGAAAGAUCGCCAUGAUAUCUGAGGUGACUUUUUCCAAAAGGUAUUUGAAAUAUUACACCAAAAAAUAUUCAAAGAAGAAUAAUCUAUGUGAUUGGUUUUCGUAGCUGCUAACAGCAAAGAGAGUUAUGGAUUACAUUAUUUCUAAACUAAUCAGGACGAGGAAGAUGAGGAUUAA